rnacentral:rRNA from 1 species
UACCAGCUCUCCGAGUUGUAGGGACGAUUAUUGGGCUUAAAGCGUCCGUAGCCGGCUUAGCAAGUCUCCUGUUAAAUUCAGCGACCCAAUCGUUGAGCCGCGGGAGAUACUACUAGGCUAGGAGGCGGGAGAGGUCGACGGUACUUUCGGGGUAGGGGUGAAAUCCUAUAAUCCCGGGAGGACCACCAGUGGCGAAGGCUGUCGACUAGAACGCGCUCGACGGUGAGGGACGAAAGCUGGGGGAGCGAACCGGAUUAGAUACCCGGGUAGUCCCAGCUGUAAACGAUGCGGGCUAGGUGUUGGGGUGGCUACGGGCCACUUCAGUGCCGCAGGAAAGCCAUUAAGCCCGCCGCCUGGGGAGUACGGCCGCAAGGCUGAAACUUAAGGAAUUGGCGGGGGAGCACCACAAGGCGUGAAGCUUGCGGUUC